rnacentral:misc_RNA from 1 species
GUAGGUGAACCUGCGGAAGGAUCAUUGUCGAACCUUUAAAAAACAGACCGCGAACACGUGUUUAACACCGUUGGGGACGGUGCGGGGGGUAACCCUCUGCCGUGUCCCAUCUCCUGCCGGCGUGUAUCUUCGGGUCACGUCGUGCGGGCUAACGAACCCCGGCGCGGAAUGCGCCAAGGAAAACAAAACGAAGCGUUUCCCCCUGGCAUCCCGUUCGCGGAGUGUGCUGGGGGAGCAGACGUCUAUCAAA